rnacentral:rRNA from 1 species
AUUGAACGCUGGCGGCAUGCCUUACACAUGCAAGUCGAACGGCAGCACAGUAACAGUCCUGGUGUCGAGUGGCGGACGGGUGAGUAAUACAUCGGAACGUGCCCAGCUGCUGUGGCUAACCCGGCGAAGGCCGGACACAUACCGCAUAACACCUUCGGGUGAACGCGGGGGAUCGCAAGACCUUGCGCUCUCGGACCGGCCGAUGUCCGGUUAGCUAGUUGGUGGGGUAAAGGCCUACCAAGGCGACGAUCCGUAGCUGGUCUGAGAGGACGACCAGCCACACUGGAACUGAGACACGGUCCAGACUCCUACGGGAGGCAGCAGUGGGGAAUUUUGGACAAUGGGCGCAAGCCUGAUCCAGCCAUGCCGCGUGCGGGAAGAAGGCCUUCGGGUUGUAAAGCGCUUUUGUCAGGAAAGAAACGCACCGGGCUAAUACCACGGUGUAAUGACGGUACCUGAAGAAUAAGCACCGGCUAACUACGUG